CAUGAUCAUAAAGCCAUGAGGUUGCUUCUGGAAGACUGAAAUUGCGCCAAAAAAAAUUGUUGAUGUUUGUGCUUUUUAGCAGCUGGCUUCUUUGAAAUAUCUGUCCAGCUCAAAAAUGGCUCCAGCGGUUAGAAACAGGCGAUGGCAUGGCAGAAUGGCUUUAUGGAAACUUCAAGCAUAUGACAGCUUAAUUUUCUUCCACAAGGCUGUGAGACCAGUUUGCAGGUGAUGCUAAAGUUUUCAGAUCUACAGCACCAGGUGACAUACAGCCAACACUUAGUGUCUAGCUUAUUGUCAAAAGAAAUGUCUGUGCCUCCUUUGUUAAACCAGAUCUAGCAAUGUGAAGUGAGAGGCCAUAAUAUACAGAGAGGUCUUCACCUCAACUGCGUCUGCUGACAUCCAGGCUGCAAGUUGAUUUUGUUUUAUAUACAGAUCUUCAAACACUGGACAAAAUGUCUACAUGAAACAUUUCUCCGUUGCAUCAGCCCAGGUGUUUUAACAGCUGGAGUACGUGCGUUUGUUUUGUGCAACUCUGCUGCUCUCACAACUCGUGUACCCAUGGAAAGGGAUUGUCCUUGGCGUUCCUGUUUGAACUAUAAAUCUGGCUAUUUAAUAAAAUGCUAAUAAAGUGUUUCUGAUAUCUGUUCUAUUAAUAAAGCUGUGACUUAUCUUA